rnacentral:rRNA from 1 species
GGAUAACCUGCCCUAAGGAAGGGGAUACCCCCGGGAAACUGGGGACAAUACCCUAUAGGUUACCGAUGCUGGAAUGCCCGGUAACCCAAAGCUCCGGCGCCUUAGGAUGGAUCUGCGGCCGAUUAGGUUGUUGUUGGGGUAACGGCCCAACAAGCCGGUGAUCGGUACGGGUUGUGGGAGCAAGAGCCCGGAGUUGGAUUCUGAGACACGAAUCCAGGCCCUACGGGGCGCAGCAGGCGCGAAAACUUUACAAUGCGGGCAACCGUGAUAAGGGAACCUCGAGUGCCUGUAUCUGCAGGCUGUCCAGGUGUCUAAAACACACCUGAAGAAAGGGCCGGGCAAGACCGGUGCCAGCCGCCGCGGUAAUACCGGCGGCUCGAGUGGUGGCCACUUUUAUUGGGCUUAAAGCGUUCGUAGCUGGGUUGUUAAGUCUCUUGGGAAAUCCGGCGGCUCAACCGUCGGGCGUCUAAGGGAUACUGGCAAUCUUGGAACCGGGAGAGGUGAGGGGUACUUCGGGGGUAGGAGUGAAAUCCUGUAAUCCUCGAGGGACCACCUGUGGCGAAGGCGCCUCACCAGAACGGCUUCGACAGUGAGGGACGAAAGCUGGGGGAGCAACCGGAUUAGAUACCCGGGUAGUCCCAGCCGUAAACGAUGUGCGUUAGGUGUAUCGACGACCACGAGUCGUCGAGGUGCCGAAGGGAAACCGUGAAACGUACCGCCUGGGAAGUACGGUCGCAAGGCUGAAACUUAAAGGAAUUGGCGGGGGAGCACCACAACAGGUGGAGCCUGCGGUUUAAUUGGACUCAACGCCGGGAAGCUCACCGGAUAAGACAGCUGAAUGAUUGCCGGGCUGAAGACUCUGCAUGACUAGCUGAGAGGAGGUGCAUGGCCGUCGUCAGUUCGUACUGUGAAGCAUCCUGUUAAGUCAGGCAACGAGCGAGACCCACGCCAACAGUUGCCAGCACGAUCCCCGGAUCGGUGGGGACACUGUUGGGACCGCCUCUGCUAAAGAGGAGGAAGGAAUGGGCAACGGUAGGUCAGCAUGCCCCGAAUUAUCCGGGCUACACGCGGGCUACAAUGGGCAGGACAAUGGGUAUCGACACCGAAAGGUGAAGGCAAUCUCCUAAACCUGUCCGUAGUUCGGAUUGCGGGCUGUAACUCGCCCUCAUGAAGCUGGAAUCUGUAGUAAUCGCGUUUCAAAAUAGCGCGGUGAAUGUGUCCCUGCUCCUUGCACACACCGCCCGUCAAACCAUCUUAGUGGGGUUUGGAUGAGGCUGCGGUCGUUGCCGCAGUCGAAUCUAGGUUCCGCAAGGAGGGUU